AUCGCUUCUCGGCCUUUUGGCUAAGAUCAAGUGUAGUAUCUAUGCUUAUCAGUUUAAUAUCUGACAUGUUCUCUAUCUAAGGAAAGCAUAUUAAGUUGAUUUUUGGGACAAGGAAAUGGAAAAGGGGCUUGCUCCAUCCACUCCAUGCAUCGUCCUGGUAUUGCAGUAUUUCCAAGAACAGUGUGUGUCCC